ACAUGUAAAAGAAGGAAAAAUGACUCACAUUUCCAAAUUUGUCUUUGCUUUGAUAAUCUUUCUUUCUAUAUAUGUCGGGGUAAACGACUGCAGUUUGAACGGGAAGUACCUCGAUGCAUUAACUCAAUUUGCAAGUGCAUGCCAAUGUAACUAUCAACAUGCAAAAUAAUUAUAUGUUACAUAUAAUUUAUUUAUGUCAUAAUGUUCGUACUUUAAUAAUAUUAUAUGCACUUUGAUUUAUGUUUAUGUUACCUUUUUUGAAUUAUUUUUAAUAAGGGACAUUCUGAAAUCAUUUGGUUAACUUUUAUUGGGUUUUGGUAUAGUCCCCAAUAUUUGUAAUUCUUAUUUUCCUGUGAUUUAUUAAUAAUAAUUUUAUAGUGCUACAAGUUAUAUCAUAA